rnacentral:rRNA from 1 species
UCAUUAAGAGUGGUGAUUAUGAUAACAUAAGGGAAAAAAAUGAUGUUACCUUAUUAUUAGUGUUGUCCAAAACUGGUGCCAGAAGACUCGGUAAGACCAGAGACGCAAACGUUAGUCAUCUUAAUCAGGCGUAAAGGGUUUGUAGGCUGCUUUAAAAAUUUAAAUCUUUAUAAUAGCUCUGUUAUACUAAAAAUCAAUGAUAAAAAUAAAUAUUUUAUCUUGUAUAACAGUUAAGAAAUAAAUGAAUUAAAGCUAGGAUCAAAUUGAGGAUAACCCAAAUAAUACUUAGAGUAGGGCUUAUAUCCGCAGAUACUAAGGGGAAUACUAAAGGUGAAAGCUUUUUAUCUAUUAUUGAUUGACGCUGAGAAACGAAGGUGAGAAUAGGAAAUAGGAUUUGAUACCCAGAUACCUCUCACUGUCAACGAUGAAUGGUGAUUGUCAGUUUUAAUAAAAAUUGGUAAUGAUGUUAACACGAUAACCAUUCCGCCUUGCGAGUACGGUUGCAAAACUGAAACCAAAAAAA